rnacentral:rRNA from 1 species
CACGUAGGGGGCGAGCGUUGUCCGGAUUUAUUGGGCGUAAAGAGCUCGUAGGCGGCCCGGUAAGUCAGGUGUGAAACCUCCAGGCUCAACCUGGAGACGCCACCUGAUACUGCCGUGGCUAGAGUCCGGUAGAGGAGCGUAGAAUUCCUGGUGUAGCGGUGAAAUGCGCAGAUAUCAGGAGGAAUACCAGCGGCGAAGGCGGCGCUCUGGGCCGGUACUGACGCUGAGACGCGAAAGCGUGGGGAGCGAACAGG